CUGAGGCACAGAAAGGUUAAAAGUGAUGCAGCCAGGACCUGCUGGCAAAUCCCCAUGGCUCCAGCACCAGGCCUGUCUGGCUCCUGAACCUCUGACCUACUGCUGCUCAUCCAUAUCUAUCUCCUGAGACCUCGAGACAUGAAUCCACCUUGGUGUGCCUUCAGCCAAAAGCAGAACUGGAAACAUCCUAAGUGGGCCGGUAACGAGGCUAGCUCUGUCGACUAGUUCAAGACCCCUGAGCGCUUUGGGCCUGAGGUUCCUCAGCUUCCAAGUGAAAGGCUUCGACUUGGCAUUCUAAGAGACAAUCUCUGUGACCAUCAGUUUCCUCAUCUGUAAAACUGGCAUCAUGAUAACUUUGAAGGUUUUAUUCUGGGCAUAUAUAUGUUUGGAGGUGUGUGUAUGUUUGGGGAACCUUUGAAUUUGGAAGUACCAAGCUCUAUAAGGAACGACCCAGGCCAGAAACCUGCCAAAUCCUGUCCAGUACUAUGAUCUACAAAACGGAUCUGCCUCAGGAAAGCCAGGGAAGGUGGGGCUGGAUGGAGUGUGUUCCAGCUGGAACAUCUGCUCUGGGCCAGGCACAGUGGGGAAAGCCAAGGUGGAUUCACUAUGGCCCUGAUCUCAUGAUUGGGGU
rnacentral:lncRNA from 1 species